CGUAGAGAGUUUGAUCMUGGCUCAGGAUGAACGCUGGCGGCGUGCUUAACACAUGCAAGUCGAACGAUGAUCCCAGCUUGCUGGGGGAUUAGUGGCGAACGGGUGAGUAACACGUGAGUAACCUGCCCUUAACUCUGGGAUAAGCCUGAGAAAUUGGGUCUAAUACUGGAUAUGACUGACUGUCGCAUGGUGGUUGGUGGAAAGCUUUUUUGUGGUUUUGGAUGGACUCGCGGCCUAUCAGCUUGUUGGUGAGGUAAUGGCUUACCAAGGCGACGACGGGUAGCCGGCCUGAGAGGGUGACCGGCCACACUGGGACUGAGACACGGCCCAGACUCCUACGGGAGGCAGCAGUGGGGAAUAUUGCACAAUGGGCGCAAGCCUGAUGCAGCGACGCCGCGUGAGGGAUGAAGGCCUUCGGGUUGUAAACCUCUUUCAGUAGGGAAGAAGCGWAAGUGACGGUACCUGCAGAAGAAGCGCCGGCUAACUACGUGCCAGCAGCCGCGGUAAUA
rnacentral:rRNA from 1 species